rnacentral:rRNA from 1 species
AAACUAACUAGGAUUCCCCUAGUAACGGCGAGUGAACCGGGAUGAGCUCAAAUUUAAAAUCUGGCGUCUUUCAGGCGUCCGAGUUGUAAUCUAUAGAGGCGUUUUCCGCGCCGGACCGCGUCCAAGUCUCUUGGAAUAGAGUAUCAAAGAGGGUGACAAUCCCGUACUUGACGCGACAACCGGUGCUCUGUGAUACGUUCUCAAUGAGUCGAGUUGUUUGGGAAUGCAGCUCUAAAUGGGUGGUAAAUUCCAUCUAAGGCUAAAUAUUGGCGAGAGACCGAUAGCGAACAAGUACCGUGAGGGAAAGAUGAAAAGCACUUUGGAAAGAGAGUUAAACAGCACGUGAAAUUGUUAAAAGGGAAACGAUUGAAGUCAGUCGUGUGAAAGGUAUUCAGCCGUCUCUGGCGGUGUAUUUGCCUUUCACGGGUCAACAUCAGUUUGAUCCGGUAGAAAAAGGCGGGAGGAAGGUGGCACCCUCGGGUGUGUUAUAGCCUCCUGUCAUAUGUGCCGGACCAGACUGAGGAACGCAGCUUGCCGCAAGGCCGGGGUUCGCCCACGUACAAGCUUAGGAUGUUGACAUAAUGGC